rnacentral:rRNA from 1 species
UGUCACAGCUGCACGCUAUUAACGUACAACCUUUCUUCCCAAUUGAAAGUGCUUUACAACCCUAAGGCCCUCUUCACACACGCGGCAUGGCUGCGUCAGGCUUUCGCCCAUUGCGCAAUAUUCCCCA